rnacentral:sRNA from 1 species
UGGUGGGAACUCUAGGGAGACUGCCGGUGACAAACCGGAGGAAGGUGGGGAUGACGUCAGGUCAUCAUGGCCCUUACGGCCAGGGCUACACACGUGCUACAAUGGCGCGCACAGAGGGCUGCAAACCCGCGAGGGGGAGCCAAUCUCACAAAACGCGUCGUAGUCCGGAUCGCAGUCUGCAACUCGACUGCGUGAAGUCGGAAUCGCUAGUAAUCGUGAAUCAGAAUGUCACGGUGAAUACGUUCCCGGGCCUUGUACACACCGCCCGUCACACCAUGGGAGUGGAUUGCACCAGAAGUGGUUAGUCUAACCUUCGGGAGGACGAUCACCACGGUGUGGUUCAUGACUGGGGUGAAGUCGUAACAAGGUAGCCGUAGGGGAACCUGCGGCUGGAUCACCUCCUUAACGA